rnacentral:rRNA from 1 species
UAGAGUUUGAUCCUGGCUCAGGAUGAACGCUAGCUACAGGCUUAACACAUGCAAGUCGAGGGGCAGCAUGGUCUUAGCUUGCUAAGGCCGAUGGCGACCGGCGCACGGGUGAGUAACGCGUAUCCAACCUGCCUUACACUCUUGGACAGCCUUCUGAAAGGGAGAUUAAUACAAGAUGUUAUCAUGAGUAAGCAUUUUCGCAUGAUUAAAGGUUUACCGGUGUAAGAUGGGGAUGCGUUCCAUUAGAUAGUAGGCGGGGUAACGGCCCACCUAGUCUUCGAUGGAUAGGGGUUCUGAGAGGAAGGUCCCCCACAUUGGAACUGAGACACGGUCCAAACUCCUACGGGAGGCAGCAGUGAGGAAUAUUGGUCAAUGGACGAGAGUCUGAACCAGCCAAGUAGCGUGAAGGAUGAAGGUUCUAUGGAUUGUAAACUUCUUUUAUACGGGAAUAAACGAAUCCACGCGUGGAUUUUUGCAUGUACCGUAUGAAUAAGGAUCGGCUAACUCCGUGCCAGCAGCCGCGGUAAUACGGAGGAUCCGAGCGUUAUCCGGAUUUAUUGGGUUUAAAGGGAGCAUAGAUGGGUUGUUAAGUCAGUUGUGAAAGUUUGCGGCUCAACCGUAAAAUUGCAAUUGAUACUGGCAGUCUUGAGUACAGUUGAGGUAGGCGGAAUUCGUGGUGUAGCGGUGAAAUGCUUAGAUAUCACGAAGAACUCCGAUUGCGAAGGCAGCUUACUAACCUGUAACUGACAUUGAUGCUCGAAAGUGUGGGUAUCAAACAGGAUUAGAUACCCUGGUAGUCCACACGGUAAACGAUGAAUACUCGCUGUAGGCGAUAUACAGUCUGCGGCCAAGCGAAAGCAUUAAGUAUUCCACCUGGGGAGUACGCCGGCAACGGUGAAACUCAAAGGAAUUGACGGGGGCCCGCACAAGCGGAGGAACAUGUGGUUUAAUUCGAUGAUACGCGAGGAACCUUACCCGGGCUUAAAUUGCAACCGAAUAUGGCGGAAACGCUAUAGCUAGCAAUAGCGGUUGUGAAGGUGCUGCAUGGUUGUCGUCAGCUCGUGCCGUGAGGUGUCGGCUUAAGUGCCAUAACGAGCGCAACCCUUGCCGAUAGUUACUAACAGGUCAUGCUGAGGACUCUGUCGGGACUGCCAUCGUAAGAUGUGAGGAAGGUGGGGAUGACGUCAAAUCAGCACGGCCCUUACGUCCGGGGCUACACACGUGUUACAAUGGGGGGUACAGAGGGCUGCUACCACGCAAGUGGAUGCCAAUCCCAAAAACCUCUCUCAGUUCGGAUUGAAGUCUGCAACCCGACUUCAUGAAGCUGGAUUCGCUAGUAAUCGCGCAUCAGCCACGGCGCGGUGAAUACGUUCCCGGGCCUUGUACACACCGCCCGUCAAGCCAUGGGAGCCGGGGGUACCUGAAGUGCGUAACCGCAAGGAGCGCCCUAGGGUAAAACUGGUGACUGGGGCUAAGUCGUAACAAGGUAGCCG